rnacentral:rRNA from 1 species
CAAGUCGAGCGAGAAAGGGCUUCGGCCCCGGUAAAGCGGCGCACGGGUGAGUAACGCGUAGGUCAUCAACCCCCGAGUGGUGGAUAACCCUCCGAAAGGAGGGCUAAUACAGCAUGACGGCAGCAAUGUCCAAAGCGGGCCUCUUCAUGAAAGCUCGCGCUUGGGGAUGAGCCUGCGGCCCAUCAGGUAGUUGGCGGAGUAACAGCCCACCAAGCCUAAGACGGGUAGCUGGUCUGAGAGGAUGAACAGCCACACUGGAACUGAGACACGGUCCAGACUCCUACGGGAGGCAGCAGUCGGGAAUCUUCCGCAAUGGGCGAAAGCCUGACGGAGCGACGCCGCGUGAGCGAUGAAGGCCUUCGGGUUGUAAAGCUCUGUGGGGAGAGAAGAAUAAGUUCAGGCCAAUACCCUGAACGAUGACGGUAUCUCCUUAGCAAGCACCGGCUAACUCUGUGCCAGCAGCCGCGGUAAGACAGAGGGUGCAAACGUUGUUCGGAUUUACUGGGCGUAAAGCGCGUGUAGGCGGCUUGGCAAGUCGGAUGUGAAAGCCCACGGCUCAACCGUGGAAGCGCAUCCGAAACUGCUUCGCUCGAGUCUCGGAGAGGAAGGUGGAAUGCUUGGUGUAGAGGUGAAAUUCGUAGAUAUCAAGCAGAACACCUGCGGCGAAGGCGGCCUUCUGGACGAUGACUGACGCUGAGACGCGAAAGCGUGGGGAGCAAACAGGAUUAGAUACCCUGGUAGUCCACGCCGUAAACGAUGAGUGCUAGGUGUCACGGGCUUUGACCCUCGUGGUGCCGUAGCUAAC